rnacentral:rRNA from 1 species
UACGUAGGGUCCGAGCGUUGUCCGGAAUUACUGGGCGUAAAGAGCUCGUAGGUGGUUUGUCGCGUUGUUCGUGAAAACUCACAGCUCAACUGUGGGCUUGCAGCCGAUACGGGCGGGCUGGAGUUCGGUAGGGGAGACUGGAAUUCCUGGUGUAGCGGUGAAAUGCGCAGAUAUCAGGAGGAACACCGGUGGCGAAGGCGGGUCUCUGGGCCGAUACUGACGCUGAGGAGCGAAAGCGUGGGGAGCGAACAGG